AACGAACGCUGGCGGCAUGCCUAACACAUGCAAGUCGAACGAUGCUUUCGGGCAUAGUGGCGCACGGGUGCGUAACGCGUGGGAAUCUGCCCCUUGGUUCGGAAUAACAGUUAGAAAUGACUGCUAAUACCAGAUGAUGACGUAAGUCCAAAGAUUUAUCGCCAGAGGAUGAGCCCGCGUGAGAUUAGGUAGUUGGUGGGGUAAAGGCCUACCAAGCCGACGAUCUCUAGCUGGUCUGAGAGGAUGAUCAGCCACACUGGGACUGAGACACGGCCCAGACUCCUACGGGAGGCAGCAGUGGGGAAUAUUGGACAAUGGGCGAAAGCCUGAUCCAGCAAUGCCGCGUGAGUGAUGAAGGCCUUAGGGUUGUAAAGCUCUUUUACCCGGGAUGAUAAUGACAGUACCGGGAGAAUAAGCCCCGGCUAACUCCGUGCCAGCCGCCGCGGUAA
rnacentral:rRNA from 1 species